CGACGAUGUCAGCAUGUCAGCAGUGGUUACAUGAAUACUUCAGCUUAUGUUACCACCGGAUUUGUGGGGAGAAGGGUGGCACUUCCCAGAGGAAACAAAGUCCUGGACUGAAAGGCACUCCGGUCCACUCUCCCCUGCCGAGGCCACCUGCUCUUCCAUGUGAAAUGAACCCAUUGGACUUUGUCUCAUUGCCACUGCCCUCUGGUAGAGAUGGUCUCCAGUUCCAGAGCCUUCAAUGCCUGGUCUCACUAUAUAGCUCUGACUGUCCUAGACAUCACUGUGUAGACCAGGAUGGCUUCAAGCUCACAGAGAUCCGCCUGCCUCUGCCUCCUGCGUGCUGGGAUUAAAGGCGUGCGCCACUUCAGCUGGCUGAUCUGUCUUUGAAACUGACAAAGCAUCUAGCCAGCGUUUGACGGUUGGGCUCAAGCCAUGUGCAUACUGAUCCGCCUCCCUCCAGGUCCGUUCAUUUGGCGCCUUCAUUCUGCUAAGGAAGCCACUCUCUUUCCAUAUCAUAGCACCCCUUCUCCCCGCAGCCCAGCGCCUUCCUGUCCACCCUUGCAGUUCUCUAUACCUAUUUAACAUUGCAUCCCCUCCCCUCCCCGUUACCACUCCCCUGCUCUACUGUCCUGCAGCCCACGCUCUUGUGAGACACACUCAUCUUCAGCAGCUCUCACGUCAAACUCACCUGGCUGAAACAACACCAGCUCAGAGUCACAGCAGGACCACAGUGAGAGUGUCCUCCUUCUCAGGAGGGCGACCCUGACCAUCCUCACUUGUCUGCACAGCCUGACUGGAGACCGGAGAGCCCUUCCACGCCUCAAACUCCAGCUUGGCUUCAUUCCCAACACUUGGACCUUGUUGCCUCCCGACUUCCAGUUUUGCCUUAAAGCGGCGGCUCUCAACCUGUGGGUGGUGUGGUGACCCCUUUGGAAGCCAAAUGUCCCUUUCACAGGGCUUGUGUAUCAGAUACCUGCAUAUCAGAUAUUUUCAUGAUGAGCAAAAUUACAGUUAUGAAGUAGCAAGAAUAGUUUUCUGGUUGGGGGUCACCACUGCAUGGGGAACUGUGUUUGAGGGACACAGAGAAUCACUGCUUUAAAGGGAUCCCCACCCUCUUUUGUCCUGGGCCACAUUCUGUACCCUUAGCAGGCCUCAGGUCUACGCACCAGAGUUUAUCUCUGGAUGAGCUAGUGCAAUCUGUGCUAAGGGUUCUUGUCCCUCGGCUCUCAGGCCUGCACUCAGGGGUUCAAAAUGAGUUUGUAGGAACAGUUCUGGAAUACAGCCCUUCCUCAAUUUUAUUAUAGUCCACCACUAACAAGUUUGACUUUUAUGAAUAAGAUUAUUAAAAUGCAUGACUUUAAUAAACCAUGUCUAAAUAUG
rnacentral:lncRNA from 1 species